CCUUGGUGCCAGAAAGACCCACUAGAUAUCUAGUAGUCGACGGGGUGUCCCCAGUGGGUGAGGCCGGGUAGGGAGGGGGGUAGCCUCCCGCUGAGUGAAGAGUUAUCAGUUGGGGGUAAGAACUCAUCGUAUAACUGUGUAACGAUUAGAGAUUCGGCCUCGUAAUAAUAAAAUGGAGAAAGAGUGUGAGCUGCACCACAACAAAAGAAUUUAAAAAAUGGAGUAACAUAUCGGAUUGUGGAAGUAUAUGACCAACGUCUUGCAGUACAACGGAUCAUAAUGGAAGGUGAUAAAAGAAGAAUAAGGUGCAGUACACCUAUAGCCUUCUAAGAGUGAGCCGUAGAUUUAGUGCUGAAAGCUUGUGGUGACAUCAGAAAUAGAUAUACGGAGACGAUCAAUGAAAAUCGUUAAGUUGAAAGCGGAGGAGGCAACAAAUGCUAACCAGAAACGAGAAAGAGGUCCUGCAGAUCAUAGUCUUUAGACGUUUAGAAGAACAUGAAAUUUACGAUAGAGGAUGGUUUAGUUAUUCCUUAAAGCAGUUUAUAAGUAAAGGCAACAGAAAUAGAAGCCACGUACAACGUAGACCUAAGGUAAAGAAAGCGACAACAGAAUUUACCGUGGUCAUCGGAGUCGUUCAAGGAUGUUCGUAUGCUGAUGUUUUGGGAAAGCUUCGCAAAAAAGUCAAUCCAGACGUUCGCCAUGUGAGGAGUGGCAACUGUUAAGGGCGCAGUCACAUAAAGCAGAUUAGUGGAUUAACAGAGUAGACGUCGAACACUCCAAAUGUACUCCCUUGGGUCAAACAAUACACGGCAAAACUGUUUAGCGGAUGCACUGCAAAAAGAAGUAUCUUAUUAUAAGACACAUUGGAAACCAGUUACCAAAAGUAUCUUCCUAUCCAACUUAUAUCUUAAGAAACUAAUGCAUUUAAAGAUGUUUUUGAUAACUUAGAAGCAAGUUAUAAUAAAUAUCUUAAAAAGGCGACCAAAACAUUUUAAAAUAAUACUUCCUUUUGCAGUGCGGGUGCGUCAUUGACAAUAGUGCAGGACCACUCGAUGUUAGCCUCACAGCUCAGUCAAAAUUAGGAGAGUUGUUUUCUUAAAACCUGGAGGAACUGCACUCCCAAUUUGUAUAUAUAGUAAGCAGCUGAUCGGCACCUUUGGGUUCGUUAAUACACAUCCAGAAUUCAACAGCUCGAUGAAAAAGGGCACAUGCUCUCUCAAAUAAAAAGCUCUUUUUUAACGCAGCAUUUUACCUCAUUAGGUAAAAAUCUCUCUCAACAUUUUUUCUGUGUAGGUGACUCCAGCAGGGGAGGCUUUUACCGCGGAGAUUAUCAAGGCAGGUUGGUGGAUCGAAAGGUCACACUUGAGAUUGGCGACUUGGAUUCUCUUUUUCAGAUGGAAGAAGUCCAGGAAGAACUCGAUAAGGCAAGAAUUAGGAAGAUGACGGUCUUAAGACCCAGACGUUGAGGAAUAGAAGUCGCGAUUGUAGUUACCAACCCAGAUGAAGUGGACAGGCUGGAGGAAAUGGAACGCAUAAAAAUUGAUUUUACGUGUUGGCUAAUUAGAAAGGAGUGUGUUGGUCCUCCGGUGUCACCGAAGUUUUGGGUAUACUGACAAAUAGGAAGGACUUCGAAGCGGAGGACAAAUCUACUGUGUGCUUUAAUCAUAAAUUCGCUGGUUUUAAGAAGACCUCGAGGUGCUUUCUGUAUAGGAUGCAAUUGUUAGGAUGGUUAAAACCGACAAUGUAGUAGGCAGAAGAACAUGCCGAAUAUUCGGAUAAUUUUUUGAGGAAACAAUGAAGAGUUUGACAAGGCUUCGAAAAGAAAUAGACUAGAACAAGAGCUGCACCGAGGAAUAGCUUCAGGAACGGAAAGGAAAUCUCUUCUACGAAGACUAAAACCGAAACGUAGUUUACUAUGGUUCAUCAAGUGAGUUAAAGAUUCAGAAAUACCAUUACAGUCCCACAGUAUCCAACUUCGGUCUCCAUAAAAAAUAUUUUGACUCUCCCUAUCAUAUAGCAAAAACCAUAUUUUCAAUUUGA